AGUGAACGCUGGCGGUAGGCCUAACACAUGCAAGUCGAACGGCAGCACAGGAGAGCUUGCUCUCUGGGUGGCGAGUGGCGGACGGGUGAGGAAUACAUCGGAAUCUACUUUUUCGUGGGGGAUAACGUAGGGAAACUUACGCUAAUACCGCAUACGACCUACGGGUGAAAGCAGGGGAUCUUCGGACCUUGCGCGAUUGAAUGAGCCGAUGUCGGGUUAGCUAGUUGGCGGGGUAAAGGCCCACCAAGGCGACGAUCCGUAGCUGGUCUGAGAGGAUGAUCAGCCACACUGGAACCGAGACACGGUCCAGACUCCUACGGGAGGCAGCAGUGGGGAAUAUUGGACAAUGGGCGCAAGCCUGAUCCAGCCAUACCGCGUGGGUGAAGAAGGCCUUCGGGUUGUAAAGCCCUUUUGUUGGGAAAGAAAUCCAGCUGGCUAAUACCCGGUUGGGAUGACGGUACCCAAAGAAUAAGCACCGGCUAACUUCGUGCCAGCCGCCGCGGUAA
rnacentral:rRNA from 1 species